GAUAAGUAAUGUGAAUUGCAGAUUUUCAGUGAAUCAUCGAAUCUUUGAACGCACCUUGCGCUCCUUGGUAUUCCGAGGAGCAUGCCUGUUUGAGUGUCAUUAAAUUCUCAACUCUACCGAUUUGUUUCGGGCAGAGCUUGGAUUUGGAGYGUGCUGGCCCUUHCCUGGGUCGGCUCCUCUUUAAAUGCAUCAGCGGAGUCUUCUUUGACUUCCGGUAUCAGUGUGAUAAUCAUGUUGCGCUGUUGGCCGAGGUCUUAGUCCGCUUACAAUGGUCUUHGGACAACAUAUCAAAUUUUGACCUCAAAUCAGGUAGGAUUACCCGCUGAACUUAAGCAUAUCAAUAAGCGGAGGAAAAGAAACUAACAAGGAUUCCCCUAGUAACUGCGAGUGAAGCGGGAAAAGCUCAAAUUUAAAAUCUGGCGGUCUCCGGCCGUCCGAGUUGUAAUCUGGAGAAGCGUUUUCUGCGYUGGACCGUGUACAAGUUUUCUGGAAUGGAACGUCAUAGAGGGUGAGAAUCCCGUCUUUGACACGGACUACCAAUGCUUUGUGAUACGCUCUCGAAGAGUCGAGUUGUUUGGGAAUGCAGCUCAAAAUGGGUGGUAAAUUCCAUCUAAAGCUAAAUAUUGGCGAGAGACCGAUAGCGAACAAGUACCGUGAGGGAAAGAUGAAAAGCACUUUGGAAAGAGAGUUAAACAGUACGUGAAAUUGUUGAAAGGGAAACGUUUGAAGUCAGUCGCGUCGGCCGAGACUCAACCUUACUUUUGUUCGGUGUACUUCUCGGUCGACGGGUCAACAUCAAUUUUGAUCGUCGGAUAAARGCUUGGGGAAUGUGGCAUCUCUCGGGAUGUGUAUAGCCCCUGGGUUCACAUACGACGGUUGGGAUUGAGGAACUCAGCACGCCUUUAUGGUCGGGGUUCGCCCACGUAACGUGCUUAGGAUGUUGCAUAAUGGCUUUAAGCGACCCGUCUUGAAACACGGACCAAGGAGUCUAACAUGCCUGCGAGUGUUUGGGUGGUAAACCCGAGCGCGUAAUGAAAGUGAUAGUUGAGAUCCCUGUCGUGGGGAGCAUCGACGCCCGGACCAGACCUUUUGUGACGGAUCUGCGGUAGAGCAUGUAUGUUGGGACCCGAAAGAUGGUGAACUAUGCCUGAAUAGGGUGAAGCCAGAGGAAACUCUGGUGGAGGCUCGUAGCGAUUCUGACGUGCAAAUCGAUCGUCAAAUUUGGGUAUAGGGGCGAAAGACUAAUCGAACCAUCUAGUAGCUGGUUCCUGCCGAGUUUCCCUCCGGAUAGCUGACUCUCGUAUCCKGUUUCUGUGGUCCHGCGAVUGUUUCGGGGCCUUGGGGUUGGUUCCACCUUAACUAUUCUC
rnacentral:rRNA from 1 species